AAGUCGUAACAAGGUUUCCGUAGGUGAACCUGCGGAAGGAUCAUUAACACGUAUCCAAACGUUAAAACCCCCCUGUGAACCUUCAUACUCCUGAAAGCCCUCCCGCGCAUUAGCAAUGGACAUCCCUAGUAAAUCAUCGUCUGAAAGAGAUUUUGAGUUAGGGACAUCCCCUAGCGCGGGACCUGGCGGAGGCUCAAACACUCUGGUGCCCCCAAGCAACCAUCAUCUGAAAGUGUUGGUGAAUUGUGCAAGGGCGGCGUCGUCAACGCUCGCUGUAGGCCCACACGGCCGGCGACCGGAGUCUUCCCUCGAUCUACCACGAGGCCCUUCAAACCCCCCCAUGCAUGGCAAACGCGCGCGCCUAACGGUUGUACGCACCCCUAAAACCGAACAACUGUUAACAAUGGAUAUCUUGGUUCUC
rnacentral:misc_RNA from 1 species